GUUGUCGGAUGUAUGUGCAGAUUACUCGAAUAGAUGAAGCUAAGAAUGACUUAGUAUUGAGUGAGAAAGAAGCUUGGGAACUGUUAUACCUUAAGGAGGGAACACUUUUAGAAGGAACUGUCAAGAAAAUCUUUCCAUAUGGAGCCCAAGUGAGGAUAGGAG